AGCGACAACGACUGGCGACGCGGAGCCAAGCUGCUACCCCGAUUCCCUCCCCCAUGGGCUCGGCACUCUGUCUCUGCCUGUCCCCGAUCCCAGGCUCCCAACUCCUUCCCCGCACCCGUCCCGCCCUCUCGCCCCCAGCAAACACCCUCACCCCUCGCUGCAAGCACCCCCCACCCCCUCGCAGGCAGCCCCAAUCCCUCUCCGCAGGCCCGGAUCCCGGUGUUGUCCGGUCCUCUUCCACUCCCAGUCAGUGCCAGCCGACCCUAGCUCUUCUCCUGACAACAAAGGAGGAAGCAACCUCCCCCUCCCGAUCCACCUUUCCCGGCGCAGGGCACGGGAGGUGAGGGUGGGAGCCGGCGAGGGGAGGCGGGAUGGGAGCACUUCAGGUCCCCACAGGAGGUGUGCGUAGAAGGACGCUUCACGCCAGGCCUAAAGUGCCGUUUCCAAGAAGGAAGCGGUCCCUCCUCCGCCUCUUCACGGCGCCUGGCAAUACCUCCUCACACCACAGAGACUUCCCCACACAUAUCCCGACGCUGCGCAGAGGAAAGCUCCAGCUCCCUGCUUCCAACCGCUCCGGGAAGGCAGGGCCGUGAGAGAUCGGGGAGGCUGCCAGAAUCAUAGGUCCGUUUCAUCUGGAAAUUACCUCCAAAAUCAUCCAGUCCAACCAUCCACCUAAGACCGCGAUGGCUACUAAGCCAUGUCCCAAAGUGCCUUGUCCUUGAACACCUCCAGAUAAAGAGGACCCAGAACAUCUUGACUACAAACUAAGGAAGCAAUUAAAGGAACCAGCUGCAAAAUUGGACUGAAGGUGAAAAGUACACUGUGAGGAAGACCGCUAGCCUUCAUCCCAGAUGACCACCAGAAGACGACAAAGAGGGUAGAACCAGAGUGGAGAAUGGGAGGACACCAAUGAGCUCCAAGAACUAAUUUUAAUAAUCACAGCUAUUCUAAGAAAUAAUUGUAAUAACCCUACCUCUUAUCAUUAAUACAUAUGCUUUUAUAACAUAAAUAACAGCUUGUGUCAGCAUAGGGCAUGCAGGUUUGGUGGAGCAACACCCCCACACGCCCCAUACCCAGUGCUAUAAUAAACA